rnacentral:sRNA from 1 species
UAUCUCUCCGUACGGGGAAGGAUGAGAAGCUUCGACUAAGGUUCGAUUCGAGCGCAGCGAGAAAGCGUUGCCGCAGGCAACGACCCGAAGGGCGAAG